GAUUGCCUCUACUCGCUGAAGCAAAAGGACAAUAGUCGACCUUGAACCCAAGACUUUUCAGAAGACUUGCUCCACAUUCUAGGUAAAGCUGUGCUUCCCUUUGUCCUUCGUUCCUGUAGCAGUUCCUUCCCAAGGCAGGCACUGCAUUUGUCUUAGUUACUCUCCCAUUGCUGUGAGAAGACCCCAUGACUAAGGCAACACAGGAAAAGGAAGUGGUCAUUUCUGGCUUCUUUGUGACAUGUGAUGUUUUUCUGGAAACUGUCUUAUGUUUAUGCUGAAGCAGACCCGAGAGUGUGAAGAUGGUUGGCUGAGAACAGACACGUGGUGUUUCUCUGGAAGCUGCCUGGAAAGGGGGCUUGUGAUGUUUUGUUGAACGGAUGCUUGAGAGGACACCGGGUGUUUGCAAAGGGUCUAAGUAUAACCCAACAGACAGUGGGUGAUGCUGAGUGGUAUUGGUUCAUCUUGCCACUCUUUGCUAGUCACCGUUUGUUGUGAUUUCAUAGAGAGAAACACACCAAAGAACUUCUGGUGGCAUUCCAGUGGCUUCUUGCAGCUUCUGUGGAUUCCGGCCGAUUUGGAAGAGCCUCGAGGUUUCUUCUAGAUGGACACAAGCCACUGCUAUGGCUGAUUCGUGAAUGUUGUGAGUGGCUUGAGCUACCACUGCUGAUUCGUGUGAACUCAGCUGCUGCUAUCCUGACAACGAAGACUGGAAUCACCCCAAAGAACUAUUUCUAAACAGGUCCAUAUCCUCCUUUGCCCUAUUAACCUUUCUUUUCCACUGCCUCUGGUGGAUGGUGGGCUAGAAGGGAGGUUAAAGAAUUUAAGCACACUUAAGUUGGUUUUGAAAUAUAUAAGCCUACAGG
rnacentral:lncRNA from 1 species